rnacentral:rRNA from 1 species
UAACACAUGCAAGUCGAGCGAGAAAGCUCCUUCGGGAGUGAGUAAAGCGGCGCACGGGUGAGUAACACGUAGGUAACCUACCCUCGAGCCCGGAAUAACCUACCGAAAGGUGGGCUAAUACCGGAUAUGACCACGGGAGUCACGGCUCCUGCGGUGAAAGAUGGCCUAAGCUUGCAAGCUAUCACUAGGGGAUGGGCCUGCGUACCAUUAGCUAGUUGGCGGGGUAAUGGCCCACCAAGGCUAUGAUGGUUAGCUGGUCUGAGAGGAUGGCCAGCCACACUGGAACUGAAACACGGUCCAGACUCCUACGGGAGGCAGCAGUGGGGGAUAUUGCGCAAUGGGCGAAAGCCUGACGCAGCGACGCCGCGUGGGUGAUGAAGGCCUUCGGGUCGUAAAGCCCUGUCGAGGGGGACGAAACGGCUCCGACCUAAUACGUCGGGGUUCUGACGGUACCCCUAAAGGAAGCACCGGCUAACUCCGUGCCAGCAGCCGCGGUAAUACGGAGGGUGCGAGCGUUGUUCGGAAUCACUGGGCGUAAAGCGCGCGUAGGCGGUCUGCUAAGUCUGAUGUGAAAGCCCGGGGCUCACCCCCGGAAGUGCAUUGGAAACUGACAGACUGGAGUCCCGGAGAGGAAGGUGGAAUUCCUGGUGUAGCGGUGAAAUGCGUAGAUAUCAGGAGGAACACCGGUGGCGAAGGCGGCCUUCUGGACGGUGACUGACGCUGAGGCGCGAAAGCGU